GUGCUUCCAAGGAACCUCGCAAAUAAUGCAAAUCUAAAGAAAAUUAUAUACAAACUUUGAAAUUUGCAUAUACAGAUAAAUAUAGUGACACAAUGGGUUUCGGACAACUUUCAUCAAGUUUGCUGACAAUAAUAGUGGCUAUUGGAGUUACUAGACAAUGUCUAGCGACUAAUUCAACU